rnacentral:rRNA from 1 species
GCAAGUCGAACGAUGAAGAGAGCUUGCUCUUGGAUUAGUGGCGAACGGGUGAGUAACACGUGAGUAACCUGCCCUUGACUCUGGGAUAAGCACUGGAAACGGUGUCUAAUACCGGAUAUGACAGCUGACGGCAUCGUCUGGUUGUGGAAAGAAUUUUGGUCAAGGAUGGACUCGCGGCCUAUCAGCUAGUGGGUGAGGUAACGGCCCACCAAGGCGACGACGGGUAGCCGGCCUGAGAGGGUGACCGGCCACACUGGGACUGAGACACGGCCCAGACUCCUACGGGAGGCAGCAGUGGGGAAUAUUGCACAAUGGGCGAAAGCCUGAUGCAGCAACGCCGCGUGAGGGACGACGGCCUUCGGGUUGUAAACCUCUUUUAGUAGGGAAGAAGCGAAAGUGACGGUACCUGCAGAAAAAGCACCGGCUAACUACGUGCCAGCAGCCGCGGUAAUACGUAGGGUGCGAGCGUCAUCCGGAAUUAUUGGGCGUAAAGAGCUCGUAGGCGGUUUGUCGCGUCUGCCGUGAAAACUGGAGGCUCAACCUCCAGCCUGCGGUGGGUACGGGCAGACUAGAGUGCGGUAGGGGAGAUUGGAAUUCCUGGUGUAGCGGUGGAAUGCGCAGAUAUCAGGAGGAACACCAAUGGCGAAGGCAGAUCUCUGGGCCGUAACUGACGCUGAGGAGCGAAAGCAUGGGGAGCGAACAGGAUUAGAUACCCUGGUAGUCCAUGCCGUAAACGUUGGGAACUAGAUGUAGGGACCAUUCCACGGUUUCUGUGUCGCAGCUAACGCAUUAAGUUCCCCGCCUGGGGAGUACGGCCGCAAGGCUAAAACUCAAACGAAUUGACGG